AACUGCCUCCGGGACAGAGGAGGCCAGGCUCUCCCCGGGGGCCAGAAGGCCUCUCCCUCCUCCGGGCUGCGCAGCCGGCCAGGCCCAGCCCUCCAGCCCCUUUCCCCCAAGUGCUGAGCAGGUGGUUUCACUUCCGGGAGCUGCUGCCCGAGGAUGGCCCUCCCUGGGCCCCGGGGAGUGUCUGCCACGGGGAGGCUGCAGUCAAGAUGGCUUCCAGGCCUGGCUAGUCAGUCGCUCAGCCCUGCGGGCCCUGUAGACAGCCCCAGUCAGGUGGGAGGAGGACCCCCAGCCAGAGAGACCCCAGGGGGCCUACCUGCCGGCUGUCAACCUCAGGUAACGUUGAAGAUUCUCAAGAAGACGCCAAGUAGACAGUGGGACAUAUGGUCGUGGAGCUCAGAAGGAAGCCAGGAGACCUGUAUUGAGAAGGAAAGCGAGGUGUUACACGCAAGGUCAAGGGAGCCAAGGACUGAAAAGCGUCCACCGCUGGUAGCGACACAAAGGUCAUCGGUGCCUUGGCAAGCGCUACUCUGGGGACACUGGUUGGGCUGGAAACUAUUUCAUCAAAAAAGUGUUCCCGUCUAGGCUCUCUGCCAGGCGGGAGGUAUACUGGGGACCCCAGGGGGGCCGCUCCGCACGUUGUUCUAGCUCCCCCGCCUUUCUGCCAGACGCCCGCUGGUGGGCGAGGCCGUGUGACUAAUUCCAGCCAAUGCACUGUGAGCAGAACCAACGGAAGUCACUUCUAGCCCGGGCAGGUGCGAGAUACACCACAGACUGGCCAGGCUCGAGGGGGUGGCCGCCCUCUCAGCCUGAGCCCGGAGUCAUCAUGAGGAACUGAGCCUCCCCGCCAUCUUUCUUUGGUAUUCUCCCAAUGGUCGGCCACAGUGUCCCUCACUCCACUCAGUGUCCUGUCUGCAGACACCCUCCUGUUAGUGGCAGCCUCCAAAAAAGAAAAAAAAAAUGAAUUAA